UAUUAUUUAAUUUCCCCCUCAGUCUUUGGUAAAUAUGUAUGUAUUUACAUUCGCGAUUCAUAUUGGUAACCCCGGAUUGACGCAUCCUCCGUCCGCGGGGCGCGAAGCAGACUUGCGCGGGGUUUUCCUCAGCGCGGUCGCGGUAGGAUCUCACACAUUCCCCGGCGCUUUAGCAUAGCGGCUGUGGGCCGAAAAUUAAUAAUUAGAAACAGUUGGAAUUCACGAGAACUUCGUGUUCAUCAGCGCACUUGGUCGUGAUUAUUUUAUGGCGUAAAUCACAUUUGUACAGGCAGACAGUCAUCUGUUAACACGGGCCGGGCCGAAACGAAAAAGCCUCGCGACGCGAUCAGGCCGCUCACGGAGGAUGUGUCACGCAAAAUGGUGCUGCUUCAUGCUGUUAACGUAACCAAUGUGAUGUAUUUGUGGACAUUUGCUAACUUAAGGUAUUUAUCUGGAGAGAGGAACAAAGACGAAAGGAAAAGUGCCAUCUAAAACAACAGGCAGACAGUUCAGAAGAAACGGGUUGCGUUCAACCUACAUGUGGCCACUCUUCUGUGCAAAGUGAUGGAUUUUCAGUGGAAUUUCUGAAAUCCUCUCUUUGAAUCCUGGGAUGGAACAUCAUCUGGAGCAGAAUUGUUCUUUUUUGAUCGCAAGUUUGUUGGACUUGUUGUUUGGCCAUGUUGGUAUGUUCAUGAAGUGAUAAAAGUGAUGUGGGUUUUAAGAAAUGUUUUUAUAUGACCCUGUUGGUCAAGUUAUAGUUAUAAUUGUAUUUCUUUGUGUGAAGGGCCAUGAUGGCCAAUAAGUCAUUUAAAAACAUUUUCAUGACAAACUUUUGUCCCUUUAAAAA